UUGGAGGGCAAGUCUGGUGCCAGCAGCCGCGGUAAUUCCAGCUCCAAUAGCGUAUAUUAAGGUUGUUGCAGUUAAUAAGCUCGUAGUUGAAUUUCGGGAUCAAUUUAUUGGUCGUGCUAUUGUACGUACUGGUAUUAUUGAUUCCUACCUUCUGACGAACCACGAUGUCAUUAAUUUGGUGUCAUGGGGAAUCAGGACUGUUACUUUGAAAAAAUUAGAGUGUCUAAAGCAGGCUCACGCUUGAAUACAUUAGCAUGGAAUAACGAAAUAGGACGUUUGAUUCUAUUUUGUUGGUUUCUAGGAUCGACGUAAUGAUUAAUAGGGAUAGUUGGGGGCAUUAGUAUUCAAUUGUCAGAGGUGAAAUUCUUGGAUUUAUUGAAGACUAACUACUGCGAUAGCAUUUGCCAAGGAUGUUUUCAUUAAUCAAGAACGAAAGUUAGGGGAUCGAAGACGAUCAGAUACCGUCGUAGUCUUAACCAUAAACAAUGCCGACUAGGGAUCGGAUGAUGUUAAUUUUUUAAUGACUCAUUCGGCGCCUUACGGGAAAC
rnacentral:rRNA from 1 species